rnacentral:rRNA from 1 species
GUGGGGAAUCUUAGACAAUGGGCGCAAGCCUGAUCUAGCCAUGCCGCGUGGACGAUGAAGGCCUUAGGGUUGUAAAGUCCUUUCGCUGGGGAAGAUAAUGACGGUACCCAGUAAAGAAGCCCCGGCUAACUCCGUGCCAGCAGCCGCGGUAAUACGGAGGGGGCUAGCGUUGUUCGGAAUUACUGGGCGUAAAGCGCGCGUAGGCGGAUCGGAAAGUUGGGGGUGAAAUCCCGGGGCUCAACCUCGGAACUGCCUUAAAAACACCUGGUCUUGAGUUCGAGAGAUGUGAGUGGAAUUCCGAGUGUAGAGGUGAAAUUCGUAGAUAUUCGGAGGAACACCAGUGGCGAAGGCGGCUCACUGGCUCGAUACUGACGCUGAGGUGCGAAAGCGUGGGGAGCAAACAGGAUUAGAUACCCCGGUAGUCC